UCAUAGCUUGAGUGACAAUAAUCCGGCAUCAGAAAAUCUUGAGGUGAACGCCAACAGUAUUUCGGAUCGAAUUCAUGGCAGUUGCAAAGACAUUGACAUUGUCUCUCAGGAUGGUCAGCCACAAUUGGACAGUGAUCCCGAUGAAUCUUUCGUACUAACAAAUGCUGAGAAUGGUCUUAGUUCACUCGGUAAACGUUAGAGUCUAUUUCGGCAUGGACUGUCCUAAAGCAUAUAACAUUGAGAGAAGCCAUCCAGUAACAUUUCCGAUAUCUUUUUAUUUCUCAACAUAAGGUUCACUUGAUUGUACUUCAUCAGCAGUUACUUUGUAUUGAACUAACUAUAAUUGUAUUCUCUUCUUUAUUUUUGUCUCCUCUACUUUGUGAUUUAUC